CACCACUGCACAAAAUGCUUUUCCUCCCAGCUGCUGUUCUGUGCUGUCUGUGUUCAGCACUGGUUACCAUGGCAGCAGAACAGCUGAUUCAGGAGGGUUUAACAUUGACCAGGAGAGUUGAAGAAAAUGUUUUCUUCAGCUGUGGAGGGACUGAACAGUGUAGUAGCUAUGUGUUCUGGUACCAGAAGAAAGAAAAUGAAACAUUCAAAGCAAUUCUGCGUAUUAAUAGGAGAGAUGGUGCAGUUUCUUCAGAUUUCGGUCAUCCUCAGAAAGAUGAUUUCUCAGCAGUGAAUAAACAGAAUGGCUUUGUACGCUUGAAGAUAGACAAUGUUAAACUCGCUCAUUCAGGCACCUACUACUGUUCCUGUUACAAAGCAGGUCCCCACAGAUACAGCUACUUCAUCUUUGGCUCUGGAACUAAACUGUCUGUAACAGAAGGAAACCUGAGUGGACAGAAAAGGACGACACAAGCACCAAGUAUACAUGUGACCACACAGCAACCACCAUCAGGACCCAGAGUCCACGUGGACGGGAACAGCUCCCUGCUGUGUGUCCCCCCAGGCAUCUUUCCUUUUCUGGUCCAGCUGUCAUGUAGAAACCAGACAAGGAACGGCCGACUGAAGCAGCUGCCCACUGCUGACGGAGAGCAGUCAGAGCUCAGAGAGUCGAGGCCCUACUCUCCCAUCUUAAUGACCCAUGAAAGCAGCACCUAUGAAUGUGACUGCUACAUAAAGCACAGGGGGAAGCUCCAAACACAACAAGAUUAUGUGCCAUCUAUGUUCGAGGUGAAGUCGAUCUACAUGCUGUACACAGUGCUGAUAGUGAAGAGUCUGGUGUACUGCUGUGGACUCUCUCUGCUGAUGAUGCUCACAAACAAGGGAGCGUCCACCAACUGCACACAUGCUGACUGACUGUUUCCUGCUCGCCUUUUCUCACCAUCACAUCUCAUCAAUUCAUCUCAUUCAUCACUUUGAUCAGUGUUGUGUUUAUGAUGUAGUUCAUUCCGCUUCUAUUUUGCUUUUAUAUUGCAUUUUUAUGCACACUGUAUUCUAAAGUAAUGUAUAUAUGGACAGUUAUGGAUCAAAUGGAAAUUCCUAUAAUAAACUGAUCACUGAUCAAAAUAAAUGUGAUUUUUAUUGUCUAGUUAUUUUGAUUUUUAAUUUGGUCAUGUAUUCUAAAACAAAAAAAUAAAGCUUCAUAUUUUAUCAUUGUUAUAG
ensembl:lncRNA